UUUUAUUUGAGAGUUUGAUCCUGGCUCAGGAUGAACGCUGGCGGCGGGCCUAACACAUGCAAGUUGAGCGAUUUACUUCGGUAAAGAGCGGCGGACGGGUGAGUAACGCGUGGGUAACCUACCC
rnacentral:rRNA from 1 species